ACUCUGGAAUAACCGUGGGAAACGACGGCUAAUACCGGAUAUGAGACGCACAGGCAUCUGUGUGUCUGGAAAGAUUUAUCGGUCAGGGAUGGACUCGCGGCCUAUCAGCUUGUUGGUGGGGUAAUGGCCUACCAAGGCGACGACGGGUAGCCGGCCUGAGAGGGCGACCGGCCACACUGGGACUGAGAUACGGCCCAGACUCCUACGGGAGGCAGCAGUGGGGAAUAUUGCACAAUGGGCGCAAGCCUGAUGCAGCGACGCCGCGUGAGGGAUGAAGGCCUUCGGGUUGUAAACCUCUUUCAGCAGGGAAGAAGCGAAAGUGACGGUACCUGCAGAAGAAGCGCCGGCUAACUACGUGCCAGCAGCCGCGGUAAUACGUAGGGCGCAAGCGUUGUCCGGAAUUAUUGGGCGUAAAGAGCUCGUAGGCGGUUUGUCGCGUCUGCUGUGAAAACCUGAGGCUCAACCUCGGGCUUGCAGUGGGUACGGGCAGACUAGAGUGCGGUAGGGGUGACUGGAAUUCCUGGUGUAGCGGUGGAAUGCGCAGAUAUCAGGAGGAACACCGAUGGCGAAGGCAGGUCACUGGGCCGCAACUGACGCUGAGGAGCGAAAGCAUGGGGAGCGAACAGGAUUAGAUACCCUGGUAGUCCAUGCCGUAAACGUUGGGCACUAGGUGUGGGGCUCAUUCCACGAGUUCCGUGCCGCAGCAAACGCAUUAAGUGCCCCGCCUGGGGAGUACGGCCGCAAGGCUAAAACUCAAAGAAAUUGACGGGGGCCCGCACAAGCGGCGGAGCAUGCGGAUUAAUUCGAUGCAACGCGAAGAACCUUACCAAGGCUUGACAUACACCGGAAAAAGUGCAGAGAUGUGCUCCCCGCAAGGUCGGUGUACAGG
rnacentral:rRNA from 1 species